rnacentral:rRNA from 1 species
UACGGAGGGUGCAAGCGUUAUCCGGAUUCACUGGGUUUAAAGGGUGCGUAGGAGGGCAGGUAAGUCAGUGGUGAAAUCUUCGAGCUUAACUCGGAAACUGCCGUUGAUACUAUCUGUCUUGAAUCCCGUGGAGAUGAGCGGAAUAUGUCAUGUAGCGGUGAAAUGCUUAGAUAUGACAUAGAACACCAACGGCGAAAGCACUCUGCUGGGCCGACACUGACACUGAGAGACGAAAGCUAGGGGAGCAAAUGGG